UACGAAGGGGCUAGCGUUGCUCGGAAUCACUGGGCGUAAAGCGCACGUAGGCGGAUUGCUAAGUCAGGGUGAAUCCUGGAGCUCAACUCCAGAACUGCCUUUGAUACUGGCGAUCUUGAGUCCGGGAGAGGUGAGUGGAACUGCGAGUGUAGAGGUGAAAUUCGUAGAUAUUCGCAAGAACACCAGUGGCGAAGGCGGCUCACUGGCCCGGUACUGACGCUGAGGUGCGAAAGCGUGGGAGCAAACAGG
rnacentral:rRNA from 1 species